rnacentral:rRNA from 1 species
UACGGAGGGGGCUAGCGUUGUUCGGAAUUACUGGGCGUAAAGCGCGCGUAGGCGGCUUUGUAAGUUAGAGGUGAAAGCCCGGAGCUCAACUCCGGAACUGCCUUUAAGACUGCAUCGCUAGAAUUGUGGAGAGGUGAGUGGAAUUCCGAGUGUAGAGGUGAAAUUCGUAGAUAUUCGGAAGAAACACCAGUGGCGAAGGCGACUCACUGGACACAUAUUGACGCUGAGGUGCGAAAAGCGUGGGGAGCAAACAGG